rnacentral:rRNA from 1 species
UGUGCACGUCUCUGGUCAUUACCAAUUCCACCUGUGCACACUUGUAGACACUUGGGAAUGAGAGACCUUGACCAGUCUCUUGAGAAGUUGAAAAUCUGGGUGUCUAUGCCAUUUUAUUAAACACUAGUUGCAUGUUUAUAGAAUGAUGAUUUGAUUAAAUAUAAAGUACAACUCUUCACCAACGGAUCUCUUGGCUCUCGCAUCGAUGAAGAACGCAGCGAAAUGCGAUAAGUAAUGUGAAUUGCAGAAUUCAGUGAAUCAUCGAAUCUUUGAACGCACCUUGCGCUCCUUGGCAUUCCGAGGAGCAUGCCUGUUUGAGUGUCAUUAAAUUCUCAAGACCUGUCUGCUUUUUUGAUAGGUAUUGGAUUUUUGGGGGUUGCAGGCUGUUUCAAAUAAAAAUAGCCUUGCUCUCUUUGAAUGUAUUAGUGGAGAAAAGCCAUUGAACUCCAUUGGUGUGAUAAAACCUAUCAAUGCCAGGAGCAAUAU